AAGGUGGUGAUUUAAGAAGGUGCGUUGCCUGGACACUAAACAACAUAGCUGUGUUGCUGCCGUGAGGAAAGCCAGCCUCAAGCUGGUGCAAUAAACAGGAGCUCGCAGAGUCCCGUGGCCGCGGAGGGGCGCCAGACUCCGGGGAAGAGCCAGAGCGAGGUCCGACGAAUCGGGCUCUGCUGGCGACCUGCCCCCUUCCUUUCCUCCCUGGUGGGGCUGGCAGUGGGUGACCACGGCCGCAUCUGGGAGGCGACUCUUCGGAUUCAAGAUGACCAACAAAAAACCCUCUUCCCCAAAGGGUUAGACUGAGCGAAACUUCAAACUGAUGGCAGGAGAUGAAUGAAUUCUAAAAUGGAAACAAUAUGAAACACAUGCGCAAGCUUUGGAGGCAAGAACGCUGACCUUAACCUCAGUGAAAACUAAAGCAAGAGCAGCAAGAGUCUGCGCGGGGAAAACGUCCUUGCGAUGCGACUAGCAGACAAGAGGCAGGAGAUGCGAGGCGUCCUACCCGAAUUUAGUACCUCCAGCAAAUCUGUGGCCCAGCGUGGCCCGAUCAACAAUGGUAGACCGAGCCAUCAACCUGUUUUCCUAAAAAUGAAAGGUGAUCUGGCCCUGACUGAAGACAAACGGGAACAAGCCCGAAAUGAACAGAGUGCCUGGAAGUUUACGCCUGGUAGGUAAACUCUCCAGUCAUAUUCUCAGUCAAGGCUUCCCUGACAGUCCCACUACUAGAAAGUCACUGGGGGGACAGCCAAGGACUCGUUUCUACACCAACACUCAGACUUUUUGAGAGGAAAGGAAAAAAGCCGCAUUCUUAUACUCCCCAGCUCCUAAUGGUUAAUGUGAAACUUACCAAUGAACCUUGCACUUCAGUUCUUUCCCUCCCCAUCCGCUUUGCUUCAGAAGCCUGGUAGACUUGCACUAUCCCAAAGAAGCGGCCACCUCUGAAGAAUUCCUCUUUGGGAACGUGUGGAUACUUGAGAAAUGUUUCUGUUUGAAGAAAAUAGAGGGAGAAACAAGGUCCUAAGGCACACAAUGUCUUUGGACAGUUCGGAGAAAUGAAAACCUGGAGACUUUAAAUCAUGAAUUGAACAUAAAUUCCAGUAAAAUGGAAAAUGGACUAUGCAUUGCUCUUACCCUUGAGCAUAGUGACUUAGAAACUCUAAAGAGCAGGUCUUCAAAUAACAUGGAUUAGUUAUGACGUCGAAGAGAAAAAAAAUCCAUUUCCGGUCAGGGCCAUGGUCUGUGUGGAGUUUUCAGGUUCUCCCUGUGUCUUUGAGGAUUUUCUCUGGGUACUUGGUUUCCUCCCACAUCCCACAGCUGUGCACAUGAGGCUCACUGGCUUGCCUACAUGGUCGCAGACUGGUGAGUGUGAGUGAGUAUGAGUGCGCCCUGCGAUGAUGGAAUGGAGUCCUAUCCAGGGCUGGCCUGAGCUGCCAGGAUGGGCUCCAGCCACUCAACACUCUGAACUGGAACAAGAAGUUUCCAAGAACUUAUCCAGAUGUUAAAUGAGGACUUUUCAACAUAUUGGUUUUGCCAGUAAGACUGUGAACUUCAUCAUUGUUGUUGAACUGCUGGGUCAAAACUCAAAUGAGAUUGAGCAAGUUGAGAUUUAGACAGAUUUCGAUGCUUCCUCAAGGUUACUCAGCAAGGAAGAAUGGAGACAGCACUCGGUGCCAGCUCUGUCUGACAACACAGCCAGGUUCCAGGUUACAAGGUUAUUCUGCUUCCAAUCAGAUAAAUUCUCCACUUGCUUGGAAACUCUAAUCACCUAUUUCUUUCUUCCCCAAAAAUCCUCCUCCCUUUUCCCUGCAUUGCAGCCUAGGAAGCACAGCAACUAUUUCAAAACA